rnacentral:rRNA from 1 species
AUUGAACGCUGGCGGCAUGCCUUACACAUGCAAGUCGAACGGCAGCACGGGUGCUUGCACCUGGUGGCGAGUGGCGAACGGGUGAGUAAUAUAUCGGAACGUACCUUAUUGUGGGGGAUAACGCAGCGAAAGCUGUGCUAAUACCGCAUACGCCCUGAGGGGGAAAGCGGGGGAUCGCAAGACCUCGCGCGAUUAGAGCGGCCGAUGCCUGAUUAGCUAGUUGGUGGGGUAAAAGCCCACCAAGGCGACGAUCAGUAGCUGGUCUGAGAGGACAAUCAGCCACACUGGGACUGGGAAACGGCCCAGACUCCUACGGGAGGCAGCAGUGGGGAAUUUUGGACAAUGGGGGCAACCCUGAUCCAGCAAUGCCGCGUGAGUGAAGAAGGCCUUCGGGUUGUAAAGCUCUUUUGUCAGGGAAGAAACACCGGCUCUAACACAGUCCGGGAAUGACGGUACCUGAAAAAAAAGCACCGGCUAACUACGUGCCAGCCGCCGCAGUAA